AUGGGGGGACCAUCCUCCAAGGCUAAAUACUCAUCAUCGACCGAUAGUGAACCAGUACCGUGAGGGAAAGGCGAAAAGAACCCCGGGAGGGGAGUGAAAUAGAACCUGAAACCUGAUGCAUACAAACAGUGGGAGCACCCUUAUGGUGUGACUGCGUACCUUUUGUAUAAUGGGUCAACGACUUACAUUCAGUAGCGAGCUUAACCGGAUAGGGGAGGCGUAGGGAAACCGAGUCUUAAUAGGGCGAUGAGUUGCUGGGUGUAGACCCGAAACCGAGUGAUCUAUCCAUGGCCAGGUUGAAGGUGCCGUAACAGGUACUGGAGGACCGAACCCACGCAUGUUGCAAAAUGCGGGGAUGAGCUGUGGAUAGGGGUGAAAGGCUAAACAAACUCGGAGAUAGCUGGUUCUCCCCGAAAACUAUUUAGGUAGUGCCUCGAGCAAGACACUGAUGGGGGUAAAGCACUGUUAUGGCUAGGGGGUUAUUGCAACUUACCAACCCAUGGCAAACUAAGAAUACCAUCAAGUUGCUCCUCGGGAGACAGACAUCGGGUGCUAACGUCCGGUGUCAAGAGGGAAACAACCCAGACCGCCAGCUAAGGUCCCAAAUGACAGAUUAAGUGGUAAACGAAGUGGGAAGGCACAGACAGCCAGGAUGUUGGCUUAGAAGCAGCCAUCAUUUAAAGAAAGCGUAAUAGCUCACUGGUCGAGUCGUCCUGCGCGGAAGAUGUAACGGGGCUCAAAUCUAUAACCGAAGCUGCGGAUGCUAGUUUACUGGCAUGGUAGGGGAGCGUUCUGUAGGCCGAUGAAGGUGCAUUGUAAAGUGUGCUGGAGGUAUCAGAAGUGCGAAUGUUGACAUGAGUAGCGAUAAAGCGGGUGAAAAGCCCGCUCGCCGAAAGCCCAAGGUUUCCUACGCAACGUUCAUCGGCGUAGGGUGAGUCGGCCCCUAAGGCGAGGCAGAAAUGCGUAGUCGAUGGGAAACAGGUUAAUAUUCCUGUACUUGAUUCAAAUGCGAUGUGGGGACGGAGAAGGUUAGGUUAGCAAGCUGUUGGAAUAGCUUGUUUAAGCCGGUAGGUGGAAGACUUAGGCAAAUCCGGGUCUUCUUAACACCGAGAAGUGACGACGAGUGUCUACGGACAUGAAGUAACCGAUACCACGCUUCCAGGAAAAGCCACUAAGCUUCAGUUUGAAUUGAACCGUACCGCAAACCGACACAGGUGGGCAGGAUGAGAAUUCUAAGGCGCUUGAGAGAACUCGGGAGAAGGAACUCGGCAAAUUGAUACCGUAACUUCGGGAGAAGGUAUGCCCUCUAAUGUAAAGGACUUGCUCCGGAAGCAUCUGAGGGUCGCAGAGAAUCGGUGGCUGCGACUGUUUAUUAAAAACACAGCACUCUGCAAACACGAAAGUGGACGUAUAGGGUGUGACGCCUGCCCGGUGCUGGAAGGUUAAUUGAAGAUGUGAGAGCAUCGGAUCGAAGCCCCAGUAAACGGCGGCCGUAACUAUAACGGUCCUAAGGUAGCGAAAUUCCUUGUCGGGUAAGUUCCGACCCGCACGAAUGGCGUAACGAUGGCCACACUGUCUCCUCCCGAGACUCAGCGAAGUUGAAAUGGUUGUGAAGAUGCAAUCUCCCCGCUGCUAGACGGAAAGACCCCGUGAACCUUUACUGUAGCUUUGCAUUGGACUUUGAAGUCACUUGUGUAGGAUAGGUGGGAGGCUUAGAAGCAGAGACGCCAGUUUCUGUGGAGCCGUCCUUGAAAUACCACCCUGGUGACUUUGAGGUUCUAACCCAGACCCGUAAUCCGGGUCGGGGACCGUGCAUGGUAGGCAGUUUGACUGGGGCGGUCUCCUCCCAAAGAGUAACGGAGGAGUUCGAAGGUUACCUAGGUCCGGUCGGAAAUCGGACUGAUAGUGCAAUGGCAAAAGGUAGCUUAACUGCGAGACCGACAAGUCGAGCAGGUGCGAAAGCAGGACAUAGUGAUCCGGUGGUUCUG
rnacentral:rRNA from 1 species